UACGUAGGGUGCGAGCGUUGUCCGGAAUUAUUGGGCGUAAAGAGCUUGUAGGCGGUUUGUCGCGUCUGCUGUGAAAUCUCAAGGCUCAACCUUGAGCUUGCAGUGGGUACGGGCAGACUAGAGUGUGGUAGGGGAGACUGGAAUUCCUGGUGUAGCGGUGAAAUGCGUAGAGAUCCGGAGGAACACCAAAGGCGAAGGCAGUGUCCUGGGGAGUACCUGACGCUCAGGUGGCGAAAGCCAGGGGAGCGAACGGG
rnacentral:rRNA from 1 species